AGGACGAACGCUGGCGGCGUGCUUAACACAUGCAAGUCAAGGGGACCCGCAAGGGUAACCGGCGAACGGGUGCGUAACACGUGAGCAACCUACCGAAAUCUGGGGGAUAGCCGGCCCAACGGCCGGGUAAUACCGCAUACGCUCUUUCCACGGCAUUGUGGAUUGAGGAAACCUCCGGGGGAUUUCGAGGGGCUCGCGGCCUAUCAGCUAGUUGGCGAGGUCACGGCUCACCAAGGCGACGACGGGUAGCUGGU
rnacentral:rRNA from 1 species